rnacentral:rRNA from 1 species
UGGUGGAGUGAUUUGUCUGGUUAAUUCCGAUAACGAACGAGACCUUAACCUGCUAACUAGUCCUGAGGGUUAUUACCUUCUGUGACUUCUUAGAGGGACUGUGUGGUAAAACCACAAGGAAGUUUAAGGCAAUAACA